rnacentral:antisense_RNA from 1 species
AUCAGCAUGAUCAGACCCGGUACGCAGGCGGCCAGCGCCCACUGACCCCAGCUCAGCUGGAUGUUCAGGAUCUUGGACAUCAUCUCCAGCGCCAACGCGUUAGGCGCCAUCGCCGUCAGGAACAUAUAGCUGGUGGUUUUCGUCACCAUAUAGAUGUUAACCAUCAGGUAAUGACCGGCCUUACGCGGGCUUUCAUUCGGAUCUGAACCUAAAGCG